rnacentral:misc_RNA from 1 species
UCCGCCUUGGAGGCGGCAGUCUCCUAUGAAAAAGCAACAUAGGAUAAGGGUUGCGCUCGUUCGCUGACUUAACAGUACACCUCAAGGCACGAGCUGACGACGACCGUGCAGCACCUGUCUCUAGGUUCCUUGCGGCACUCCAACCUUUCGGCCGGAUUCCUAGGAUGUCAAGCCUGGGUGAGGUUCUCCGCUUACUAUCGAAUUAAACCCCAUGCUCCACCGCUUGUGUGGGUCCCCGUCUAUUCCUUUGAGUUUUAGUCUUGCGACCGUACUUCCCAGGCGGCGUGCUUACCGCGUUAGCUAAGGCACAGGAAUCGAUUGAAGAUUCCUACACCGAGCACGCAUCGUUUAGGGCGUGGACUA